rnacentral:sRNA from 1 species
AUCCUCGAUCUGCUGCGGGCAGAUGAAAUGGAUAUGCGCGUCGAAGCCCCCGGCGGUCAGGAUCCGCCCCUCCCCCGCGAUGGCCUCGGUGCCCGGUCCGAUGACGAUGUCGACGCCGGGUUGCGUAUCCGGGUUUCCGGCCUUGCCGAUGGCAUGGAUGCGCCCGUCGCGCAGGCCCACAUCGGCCUUGUAGAUACCGGAGUGAUCCACGAUCAGCGCGUUCGUGAUCACGGUGUCCACCGCCCCCUCGGCGCGGGUGCGCUGCGACUGGCCCAUGCCAUCGCGGAU